rnacentral:snoRNA from 2 species
UGCAAUCUGUGAUGCAAGAAUACCCAUUUCCUGAAUCCCUGUGAUUAUUACAACAAAAAUCACCAUCUUUCGGCUGAGAUUGCA